UCAAUCUGCAGGAGCAUUUUCUAGGUUCCCUAUUAUGAUUUGAUUUUGCACAACUGGCAUAGGAGUGAACCCAAAGCCGAGAUACCAGGGGAUCGGGGAGGGACAGUUGGGGUUUUUUCCCACCUGACUGCAAAACCAGCAGCACGAAACAAGACCACAGGGUGGCAAUUAAAGUAAUUACCAAAAAAAAUUAGAUCCCUCCCUCUUUUUCCCUCACAUAAUGGCAGGUCAUUAAAGUUAAUAGUCAGGAUCACAUUUGUACAUGUCAGCAAAAAGUCAUUGCAGCAUCUUUCAUCUCCACGACUGCAAGCAACUUUCCUCCCAUUCCUUCAGUCUCCAAGGGAGCAGCACGCUGCUUGGGAGUGAAGGUUCUUUGGGAAUGAUGCACUUCAAUCAUACUCCUUUUCCCCUCCACCGAUCAAAACUGACAAUGACAAGACAGCACGAGUCUGGAAGGAGAAAGGAAGGAGUUCCUGCUGUGGGCCUUUUUGGGUGAAACGUGCUGAGUGCUGUGAUGUUCCUGGGGGACUGACGAGGUUUGGGGUGCUCCCCCUGCUCCUGCCACCCUUAUGCAAGAGCUGCACUUUCCUCUGGACCUCCCCUGCCCAGCAUGGAUGUUGGGAGCCCCUUUGGAGACAGACACCCUUUCCAUCUUCAGGGGAAUGACCUUGCACAGAUUCACCACCACACCUGACUUCAUUUGGGAACAAGCUUCACAUCCCCCUUCCAAAAACCCAGAAGAGAUGAUGGCUUUGAACCCAAUCUGAUACAUUUCAUGUAGCCACUGUAGAGGGUGAUUUCCCCCAAAACUCUUGUUGAAAAGCUUCACUUGUUCCCCCCCAGCUUUGGGCGAGGGCUCAUAGCUGCAUUUAUCUUUCACCUUCUAUUCACACUUUGCAUAACAGAGAAUGUCUUUUGCAGCCAGGACUGUGAUAGGCAGUUGCAGGUCUGUCUUGUGGCUUCCAGUGGCCCUGAAAACUGCAAAUAAUAUAUUCUGGAAAUUCCCUAGCCUUGCCCAUGCUUUUGCUGUGUAAGUCGUAGUUCCUCCUGUAUCAUUAGUCUUCCUUCGGCAAACAGCUAUUGUGCAUUUGAUACUUUUAUCUUUUAACAGUUUUUCUUUACAUUUUUCAUCUGCUAAAUUGCAUUUUUGUGGGCUUGUCGCUCUCUUUUUAUUUUAGUUUAUGUUAGUUCUUUCCCCUGUGUAACUGUACUCUUAGGAAGAUUUUAAUUACCUUCCUUUAAAGCCAAAUGACAAGUAGAGCAUGUCAUUUGUAGCUAAAGUAUCACUUGAAAAUGCAAAAGCCCCGGCUUUAUCAGGCUUAAAAGCUUUCCUGGAAUCUGUUCAAAAACUGCUGACUGGGCAAGAUUAAACAUCGCAAUGUUAAGUAAAA